rnacentral:rRNA from 1 species
CCUACCAAGGCGACGAUGGGUAGCCGGCCUGAGAGGGUGGACGGCCACACUGGGACUGAGACACGGCCCAGACUCCUACGGGAGGCAGCAGUAGGGAAUCUUGCACAAUGGGCGAAAGCCUGAUGCAGCGACGCCGCGUGGGGGAUGAAGGCCUUAGGGUUGUAAAGCUCUUUCAGCGGGGAAGAUAAUGAC